rnacentral:lncRNA from 1 species
AUAAAGGAUGAUGAUCACUGUAUUUUUCACUGUCCUUGUGUUCUACAAUCAUGAUUUGAGAUCACAAGGAGAUCUCAUUGUCCUGGAGUAGACAUAAUCUGAGUUGGGGGCUGUAAGAAUUUAUUUCUAAUACUUCUCUGAAUAUUUGGAUGAAUACUCAUGAAUUGAGAACAAAUCAGAGCCUUACACUUGUGACUUCUUUAUGUAAUUUUUCAGCUGCUUCUCCUUGAAGACAACAACAUACCAGCCCCAACCUCACAGAUGGUGUUAGUCAUCCUGAUAAUGCACCUCAGUUAAUAUUCAAGUCGGGAUCCAGCUACACUUACUUGCUUUGUGCAACAGGACCAGAUAUAGAUGGCAUUGUUGGCUCAAUGCUUUGCUGCCACAGUGCUGUGAAGACCAUCCUUUUCUAUGCCCGUAUGUGGUCCUGGGACUCCUGAAGACAGAGAUAAGCCUUCUGUUUCCAGUGAUCAUGGGCCAGAUGAAGCCAGCCUCAGGAUAAUAAACCAGGUAAUUAUAUCCAUCCUUGCUAUGACAAUAAUGGUGUCGAGGCAGGCAAAGAUUCAUCAGAGGCAGCUUCGUUGGCAAGCCCCAGGGAGACUUGAGAUAAAGGAACUGAUUGUCAGAAUCCAUCGCUGCAGUGUGACACCAGGGGGUUGUAAUGAUGGCCGAGGGCCACAUUGUGCCUCCAGAGUAAAGAACUGUGGAGAUGAAAAGGAGAAAGACACCUACAUCCUUGCAUGGUACCCUACCAAGUCUGCGUGGAUGGUCUGGAUCAGUAAUUAG